rnacentral:rRNA from 1 species
CCUACGGGAGGCUGCAGUCGAGAAUCUUUCACAAUGGGCGCAACCCUGACGCAGCGACGCCGCGUGGAGGAAUAAGGCUCUCCGGUUUUUAACUUCUUUUCACGUGGGAGAAUAGAAGACAGUUACUAUCGCAUAAGCCACAGCUAACUACGUGCCAGCCGCCACGGUAGUACGUAGGUAGCAAGCGUUGUCCGGACUUACUGGGUGUGAAUGACGUGUAGCCAGGUUGACAAGUCAGAUGUGAAAGCCUGCGGCGCAACCGCCGAACUGCAUUUGAAACUGCUGAUCUGGAGUACUGGAGAGGCAGACGGAAUUCCCAGUGUAGCAGUGAAAUGCGUAGAUAUUAGGAGGAACACCAGUGGCGAAGGCGGUCUGCUGGACAUUAACUGACGGUGAGGCGCGAAGGCGAGGGGAGCAAAAAGGAUUAGAUACCCGAGUAGUC